UUGAACGCUGGCGGCAGGCCUAACACAUGCAAGUCGAACGGUAACAGGAAGCAGCUUGCUGCUUUGCUGACGAGUGGCGGACGGGUGAGUAAUGUCUGGGAAACUGCCCGAUGGAGGGGGAUAACUACUGGAAACGGUAGCUAAUACCGCAUAACGUCGCAAGACCAAAGAGGGGGACCUUAGGGCCUCUUGCCAUCGGAUGUGCCCAGAUGGGAUUAGCUAGUAGGUGGGGUAAAGGCUCACCUAGGCGACGAUCCCUAGCUGGUCUGAGAGGAUGACCAGCCACACUGGAACUGAGACACGGUCCAGACUCCUACGGGAGGCAGCAGUGGGGAAUAUUGCACAAUGGGCGCAAGCCUGAUGCAGCCAUGCCGCGUGUAUGAAGAAGGCCUUCGGGUUGUAAAGUACUUUCAGCAGGGAGGAAGGGAGUAAAGUUAAUACCUUUGCUCAUUGACGUUACCCGCAGAAGAAGCACCGGCUAACUCCGUGCCAGCAGCCGCGGUAAUACGGAGGGUGCAAGCGUUAAUCGGAAUUACUGGGCGUAAAGCGCACGCAGGCGGUUUGUUAAGUCAGAUGUGAAAUCCCCGGGCUCAACCUGGGAACUGCAUCUGAUACUGGCAAGCUUGAGUCUCGUAGAGGGGGGUAGAAUUCCAGGUGUAGCGGUGAAAUGCGUAGAGAUCUGGAGGAAUACCGGUGGCGAAGGCGGCCCCCUGGACGAAGACUGACGCUCAGGUGCGAAAGCGUGGGGAGCAAACAGGAUUAGAUACCCUGGUAGUCCACGCCGUAAACGAUGUCGACUUGGAGGUUGUGCCCUUGAGGCGUGGCUUCCGGAGCUAACGCGUUAAGUCGACCGCCUGGGGAGUACGGCCGCAAGGUUAAAACUCAAAUGAAUUGACGGGGGCCCGCACAAGCGGUGGAGCAUGUGGUUUAAUUCGAUGCAACGCGAAGAACCUUACCUGGUCUUGACAUCCACGGAAGUUUUCAGAGAUGAGAAUGUGCCUUCGGGAACCGUGAGACAGGUGCUGCAUGGCUGUCGUCAGCUCGUGUUGUGAAAUGUUGGGUUAAGUCCCGCAACGAGCGCAACCCUUAUCCUUUGUUGCCAGCGGUCCGGCCGGGAACUCAAAGGAGACUGCCAGUGAUAAACUGGAGGAAGGUGGGGAUGACGUCAAGUCAUCAUGGCCCUUACGACCAGGGCUACACACGUGCUACAAUGGCGCAUACAAAGAGAAGCGACCUCGCGAGAGCAAGCGGACCUCAUAAAGUGCGUCGUAGUCCGGAUUGGAGUCUGCAACUCGACUCCAUGAAGUCGGAAUCGCUAGUAAUCGUGGAUCAGAAUGCCACGGUGAAUACGUUCCCGGGCCUUGUACACACCGCCCGUCACACCAUGGGAGUGGGUUGCAAAAGAAGUAGGUAGCUUAACCUUCGGGAGGGCGCUUACCACUUUGUGAUUCAUGACUGGGGUG
rnacentral:rRNA from 1 species